rnacentral:rRNA from 1 species
CCUACGGGUGGCAGCAGUGAGGCAUAUUGGUCAAUGGGCGCGAGCCUGAACCAGCCAAGUCGCGUUAGGGAAGACGGUCCUAUGGUUUGUAACCCUCUUUUGUCAGGGAGCAAAAGACGCCUCGCGUGGUGCUCCUAGCGUACCCGAAGAAAAAGCAUCGGCUAACUCCGUGCCAGCAGCCGCGGUAAUACGGAGGAUGCGAGCGGUAUCCGGAUUUAUUGGGUUUAAAGGGUGCGCAGGCGGAAGAUCAAGUCAGCGGUAAAAUUGAGAGGCUCAACCUCUUCGAGCCGUUGAAACUGGUUUUCUUGAGUGAGCGAGGAGUAUGCGGAAUGCGUGGUGUAGCGGUGAAAUGCAUAGAGAUCACGCAGAACUCCGAUUGCGAAGGCAGCAUACCGGCGCUCAACUGACGCUCAUGCACGAAAGUGUGGGUAUCGAACAGGAUUAGAUACCCGUGUAGUC